rnacentral:rRNA from 1 species
AGCAGCCGCGGUAAUUCCAGCUCCAAUAGCGUAUAUUAAAGUUGUUGCAGUUGAAAAGCUCGUAGUUGAAUUUCGGGAUCAAUAUGUUGGUCGUGCCUUGGUACGUACUAGCUCAUUGGUUUCUCCCUUCUGACGAACCAUGAUGUCAUUAAUUUGAUGUCAUGGGGAAUCAGGACUGUUACUUUGAAAAAUUAGAGUGUUUAAAGCAGGCUCGCGCUUGAAUACAUUAGCAUGGAAUAAUGAAAUAGGACGUUUGAUUCUAUUUUGUUGGUUUCUAGGAUCGACGUAAUGAUUAAUAGGGAUAGUUGGGGCAUAGUAUUCAAUUGUCAGAGGUG